rnacentral:rRNA from 1 species
AGUGAACGCUGGCGGCGUGCCUAAUACAUGCAAGUCGAACGGAGUGGCGCGCGGGGGAGUAAUAUAUAGCUAAACUGGCCCUUGAUGGAGGACAACAGUGAGAAAUGACUGCUAAUACUCCAUAGCAAGGGUUGAGACUAUAUCGUAUCAGCUAGUCGGUGGGGCAACGGCAUACCGAAGCUAGGACGAGGAACUGGUCUGAGAGGAUGAUCAGUGACCUUGGAACUGAGACACGAGGCCAGCACUUACGCGAGGCAGCAAAAGUGAAUACUGCGCAAUUCGGGCAACCCUGACGCAGCAACGGCGCGUGGAGGAUGACACUUCUCGGAGCAUAAACUCCUUUUGUAAGGGAAGCGGUACCUAACGAAUAAGCACCGGCUAACUCCUUGCCAGCCGCCGCGGUAAUAC